rnacentral:rRNA from 1 species
UACAGAGGGUGCAAGCGUUGUUCGGAAUUAUUGGGCGUAAAGGGCGCGUAGGCGGUGCGGUAAGUCUUUUGUGAAAUCUCCGGGCUCAACCCGGAGCCUGCAAGGGAAACUGCCGUGCUUGAGUGUGGGAGAGGUGAGUGGAAUUCCCGGUGUAGCGGUGAAAUGCGUAGAUAUCGGAAGGAACACCAGUGGCGAAAGCGGCUUCUUGGUCCAGCACCGACGUUCAGGCACGAAAGCGUGGGGAGCAAACAGG